rnacentral:rRNA from 1 species
AUUGAACGCUGGCGGCAUGCUUUACACAUGCAAGUCGAACGGCAGCGCGGGCUUCGGCCUGGCGGCGAGUGGCGAACGGGUGAGUAAUACAUCGGAACGUGCCCAGUAGUGGGGGAUAGCUCGGCGAAAGCCGGAUUAAUACCGCAUACGACCUGAGGGUGAAAGCGGGGGAUCUUCGGACCUCGCGCUAUUGGAGCGGCCGAUGGCAGAUUAGCUAGUUGGUGGGGUAAAGGCCUACCAAGGCGACGAUCUGUAGCUGGUCUGAGAGGACGACCAGCCACACUGGGACUGAGACACGGCCCAGACUCCUACGGGAGGCAGCAGUGGGGAAUUUUGGACAAUGGGCGAAAGCCUGAUCCAGCAAUGCGGCGUGUGUGAUGAAGGCCUUCGGGUUGUAAAGCACUUUUGGCGGGAACGAAAAGGACUGUGCCAAUACCACGGUUCGAUGACGGUACCCGCAGAAUAAGCACCGGCUAACUACGUG